CAGUCAUAUUGGUCAUGUUAUUAUGAGAAGCUUACUUGAAAAUUGAAAAAAAGAAGAAGAUCAUGCUUUGCUUGAAGACAGAUCUACUGAACUUCAGAUGCCAAAGAAUGAGGACUGAGUAUGCAUAAGGACUGUACAGCUCUUGUCCAUCUUCCAGACAGUGGAAACUAGUGUCAACCUGAGAUAUUAAUGGUGUCUGAAGAAAAAUCGUGUUGCACUUCUGUAGGACCUCCCACACAUAUCUCUUGGAAGAUCUCCACUGCAGCAACAAAAACAGCUCCCAGUUGGAGCCAAAUUACACCUUUAGCCUCAAUCAUCAGUCUUCCAGCAGCCUGAAUGACACAUAGCAAGGAGAAAAAGAAGAUGCUGAAACAGCACACAGGCGCCUGCAAUUUCUGUGUUUCCUAAGAGCUUGGGAAGGCUCCUGACAGCCUUUCCAUACUGACAGAAGUACUACCGCCCACUCUGUCAAAGGCAGUGAGAUACAUCAGAACAGCAGGCUGGAAAUGGAGGAUUUGCUCCAGCAGCAA